rnacentral:rRNA from 1 species
AUACGUAGGGGGCGAGCGUUAUCCGGAAUUAUUGGGCGUAAAGAGUACGUAGGUGGUUUCCUAAGCAUGGGGUUUAAGGCAACGGCUUAACCAUUGUUCGCCCCAUGAACUGGGUUACUUGAGUGCUGGAGGGGAAAGCGGAAUUCCUAGUGUAGCGGUGAAAUGCGUAGAUAUUAGGAGGAACACCGGUGGCGAAGGCGGCUUUCUGGACAGUAACUGACACUGAGGUACGAAAGUGUGGGGAGC